rnacentral:lncRNA from 12 species
AAUGUAGCCAGAUAAUUUAGAACUGGGCCUGUCGCUCAGUCAGUGUCCACCGUCGCUCCUUGGGAGGGAUCCAGGACGUAGGGGCGAGGCCGGGCACAGAUGUCAGAGCGAGUGUUCUCUGCUGUCCCCCCGCCCCCGCCCACCCCGGCUCCCGGAGCUGCUGGGCCCCAGCGUCUGGCAGCAGACGGUCUCUCCCAGCACGGAGCCACGAGCGUCCAGCUUGAGCUUUGAGUCCUGCAGCCUCCUUCCAUUGAACGGACUUGGAAACUGAGGCUCAGACGGGCCGCGAACGUUUGUGGAUGUCUGGCCUAGGAUCCUGAGAUUCACGGAGAAUUCUUUGGGCCUGUGUCCUCAUUGUCCACCCUUGGCAGUCUCAGUGUCAUACCUGAGCAGGGGCUGUGUACCAAAAGCACUGGCUGUGGUACAGGACCCCUGGAAUAUCAUCCUGGCAGCCUGUGGCAGCUCUGGUCUUAACCCCAUAACCCCUGGAGAAGGUAGAUGGAACACACACACACAACGCACACACACUCUUUCAAUUCUCCCACCAGCAAAGAGCCUCCAGACCACAUUCCUUACCACCCACUGUGGCUUGGGGUUGGAGAAUUUGGUAGCCUCUUUGUGCAACUCCAUUUCUGUGUUGGUCUCAGAGGCUAUUUUGGAAAAAAACCAAGGGAUUUGGCCUAGUUUAACCGAGUUCAGGCAGGAGCUGUGUGUAAACCUCAGGCACUGUCAGAUAAAUGGGCCCCACAGAGGAGCCAUGAGGGAUGGUUAUUCUUUGUUCAGGAACUGGAAUCCAACCCUCAUUGGGGAUGUGGAUAUUGAGCAGAUGGGGUAGGAAUUAAGACUGUUAAUAUUUCGGGCUGAGGAUGGGAGAGGAUGGUUCCUGCCUGUGGGGGAAAGCACUGAGCCCAGGUCCCAUAGCACUCAUAGUGGCAGUGCUGGCCACUGAUCCUGCGGAUCGAGGACUGCAAGUCUUGCCCUCACGCUGUUCUGGCAUUUUCAGCCCUGACCCAUGUGCCAAUACCCCAAGGCUGGCAGACAUCCUGGGCAAACGCAGAGCUGCAAGGCUCUGAAAGGUCAGCUAGGUAGCUAGUCAACAGUAUUAGUUAGUGCUGACCUCAUGCCAGGCAUUCCUCUAGGCCCAUGUUUCUAAGCUGGAGACUGUUUUGCCCUCCAUAGGACAUUUGGCAGUGGCUGGAGACAUUUUUGAUGGUCCCAACUGGGAGGCAGGGGCUGCUAUUGGCAUCUACUGGGUAGAGGCCAGAGAUGCUACUCAACGUCCUACAAUGCACAAACAGCCCUCGCAACAAAGAAUGAUCUGGCCCAAAGCAUCAUAGUGCCCAGGCUGUGGAACCCUGCCCCAGACACUGGGUUCCCGGUGGUGCUUAAUCUGGACUAAAUCCCUGUCUUCGA